AGCAGCCAUUCCAGGUAGCAGGGGAAUGGCCCUUCCUCACUUUCUGACGAUUUUUUUUUACGCUCUUCUGUCUUUGGGGAAAGCGGCAGGCUAAGGAAAACCGGGAAGCCACGCAGACCUCUGCCUGUGACACAGCACGUGGGCUGGCCUCUGGCAACUGACAGAGGGAACAUUGCUGCUGAUGCGAAGAAAAGUCAUCAGAGAUUCUAAAAAAUAACGACUAUGGCGGAUAAGCAAGGAGGGACAGGAGGUGACCAAGGCCACAGUGGGGAGAGACCUAGCAGAGAGAGCACCCACCUCAAUCAGGCCACAGCCGGGACGGAGGUUCUGAGCCACGUCUCCUGAGUUCAUUUACUCGGUGGAAGUCAAUCUUAAUUGUCAAUUCGAUGAGAUUUUUAAUCGCCAUGGAAACAGACCUCUGAGCAUGUCACGGAGACAGUUUCUAUAUCAGGUUAAUCGAGGUGUACAUCUGAGGUACAACAGUCUACCUCAUAGUGGCCUCUGACAGUCCAAAGCACGAGCGGUCAUUGCCAGGGCAGCUCCAUUGUCUGCCAGAGCCCUCUCUGCUCUGCUUAUAGCUGUCUCAUGCCAGCCGAGUCGCUUCAGCAUGCAGGUGCCUGCCUCUGCUCACCCCCUGUCAGUUCCCAGAUCAGAGACACCAGGAUGCCCCCCGUAAAAAAUUUUCUUCUUUAAGUUGCCUUGGUCAUUGUGUCUAAGUAGCUAAGACACCUUGCUCGGUUUUAAACUCACUCAUUCAAAACCAAAACCAUAGCUUUCAUAAACCAUUCUCUGGACUGUACAGAACAACUCCUUAAGGCAAACACAUAUCUGUGGAUUCUAUAUAUGGCCAAGCAGGUGAGUGUCUCCUUGGAUGGCUGAGAAAUCAGGUAAUGAUGAUAGACAUAAAGUACCAAAUGUCUAUGGUUCCAGGUUAACUCAUUCAAGG
rnacentral:lncRNA from 1 species